CCUAGCGGCGAACGGGUGAGUAACACGUGGGCAACCUGCCCUCAGCUCUGGGAUAACUCCGGGAAACCGGGGCUAAUACCGGAUACGACUCGGGUCGACAUCGACCGGGGUGGAAAGAAUUUCGGCUGAGGAUGGGCCCGCGGCCUAUCAUGCUUGAUGGUGAGGUAACGGCCCACCAUGGCGACGACGGGUAGCCGGCCUGAGAGGGCGACCGGCCACACUGGGACUGAGACACGGCCCAG
rnacentral:rRNA from 1 species